AAAAGGCACAAGGGUAGGAAGAGCUUCUGGCUCUAUCCUGGGGUAAAACUGGGAGUAAAGAGCUUUCCUAAGUUCAGAGGUUUUUUCCUGCCCUGAGUCAGCAGGAUGCUCGACACACCUGAUGUCAUGGACCACCUGCCUCAAGUCUGUAAGGGAGCAGGGAUCCCCUCAGUUUCCAAACGGCAAAGGUGCUCAGGGGAUUGAUGUGACUUUGUCAGUGGAACUCAAGCAACAAGGGGCAGAGCAGGGAAAAAGUGGCUGUAGUGACAGGUAACACAAGCCAUCUUCACAUGGAAAGGCAGCCUUGGCUCUUUUGGAAAAUUCGACUGCAGAUGUCCCCUGCCCUCUAAGACAAUGGCCUUGCUCAGCCCUGCCAUGAGGAAAGGAGGCAAAGGCCAAUGCAGCCCUGGUCAGAGGUGGGGCGGAGGUGUCUACCAAGUGCCUCCUGAUCAGCUUCAGCAGCGGAGUGCUCAAGGUUUGGCUGCUCUGCUGGCCUCCAUCUCCCUGCUCACAGACUGCAGAGAUGCCCACCUGGCUCCGGGGCUGAGGUCUCCUGUGGGUCUCCAUGCAGCCCACCGCUUCCUCCUGCUCUCACCUUCUCCAACUUCCCCAAUGACGUGUGCUGUUUUGUAACACAAUAAAGAUAGAAUUUAAUUGCAGAUAAAAUGUUUUCC